CAGUCGCCGCGGGAAUACGUAGGUGGCAAGCGUUGUCCGGAAUUAUUGGGCGUAAAGGGCUCGCAGGCGGUUUCUUAAGUCUGAUGUGAAAGCCCCCGGCUCAACCGGGGAGGGUCAUUGGAAACUGGGAAACUUGAGUGCAGAAGAGGAGAGUGGAAUUCCACGUGUAGCGGUGAAAUGCGUAGAGAUGUGGAGGAACACCAGUGGCGAAGGCGACUCUCUGGUCUGUAACUGACGCUGAGGAGCGAAAGCGUGGGGAGCGAACGGGAUUAGAGACCCCUGUAGUCCCUGUCUCUUAUAC
rnacentral:rRNA from 1 species